GUGGGCGUUUUCUUAAUACCGCUCAACGGCUCAACCCCUGUCCAUGAUUCCCCGUCUAUAAAUUAGCAACCAAACAUUCAAGCAAAGCCAAGGAAAGAAAAUUUUUAUUAACAACUCACGCCUCCGGGAAAUGGAUACUCUUUGUUUAAAAACAGGAAUCCACGGUAUCGCUCCGUCGAUCUCCGUCAGUGGGGCUUUGGAAGCCCGUUCCAACGCAUCGCAGGUGAGUGCGGUGGCUCGGGAGAAAUCCACUACUGUCGCUGCCGCGCCGCCUCAGAAAGCCGCAUCCAUGUUCUCUUUUAGAUACCCUUUGCAGUCUUUGUGGCCUGGUGGAGGUCAAAGUAAUAGGUAUCAAGGGGUGGCCGUUGACGACGCCGUCUUGGUUGAUCAUGGAGAGACGAGAAAUGGUACUGGGGAAGAUGCCCAGGACAGAACAAUGGGCUCGUCCGAAGGACGAAAGGGGAACUGGGUGUUAAAGAUUUUGCAUGUGAGGUCCCUCUGGAAGGAGGAAGAGGAACAGAGGAGCAGGAGCGGUGAAGGAUCCAUUGAAGGUGCGUCCAAUGAUGCCGUUGAUAACGAGGAAGAGGAAGAGUGUGAUGUGUGUAGAGUUGAGGAUGACGACGAUAAAGAAAUUGAAUUUGAUAGGGAUUCGUUUUCGAGAUUGUUACGGAAGGUGUCAUUAGCCGAAGCCAAGCUCUACUCGCAAAUGGCGUAUCUAGGAAGCUUGGCCUAUACCAUACCCAAAAUCAAGGCAGGAAAUCUCUUAAAAUAUCGUGGCCUCCAGUUUGUAACUUCAUCGAUUGAGAAAAGCGAAUUGGCAAUGAAAGCAGAGAAAGUUCAGGUGCCAGCUGAAGGUCAAGAGGCAGAGAAAGGGCUUUUAGAGAAGGAUGCAGAGGGUACAGAACAGAAGAAUAAUGGUCAUCGCAUAAGUGCCUCUACUGCUUAUCAGAUAGCUGCGUCUGCUGCUUCUUAUCUUCACUCUCAUACCAAAAGCAUACUUCCAUUCAAAUCCUCAAAGGCAAAGGCUGGUAAAAAUUGUCCUGAAGGAGACUCUGGAGGCAAUGAGAAUCUCAAUAUGUUGAACUCAGAGGUGGCUUCUCUCAUGGCAACCACUGACUCAGUGACAGCUGUGGUUGCUGCAAAAGAAGAAAUAAAGCAGGCUGUUGCUGAUGAUUUGAGUUCAACACGCUCUUCACCAUGUGAAUGGUUCAUAUGUGAUAAUGAUCAGGGUACAAGAUUCUUUGUGAUUCAGGUAUAAAGUGGGGGUUGGCUUUUAAUCUUCAUUGAACAAACAUGUGUCUUUUGCAGAGUUUGUAUCAGUUGUGUGUUUCAUAGGCAAUCAUGGUUGCAAUUGGACCACCAAUGGGGGAGACCAAUAAAAAAUGAUGCUUGUUGAUUGUUUAAUACAGAUAUUCUUCUGUUUAUGCCGUUGUUCUUAGUCAAUAUCAUAUUCUGUUGUGUAGGGAUCUGAGUCGCUGGCAUCUUGGCAAGCAAAUCUACUUUUUGAGCCUGUUCAGUUUGAGGUAAAUUCAUUUUAUAGUUGCCAAAUUCUAGUUCACCUUUUCUGAUGAUGUUUAUAUCUGUUGACUAUUUUAUAAUGUAAUGGAUUAUUACAAAAUAUUCAAUGAUGAUUUCACAUUGGAUUAUCUUGUGAAAGAUUGAGGGAGGUCAUCUUUUUAGACAAUUAAUGCAAUUGAAGAACGCUAUUGCUUAUACAUAAUGCCAAAAAUAGAUAAAAUGUUUUUGUCUUCUCGUUCCAGGGACUGGAUGUACUUGUGCAUAGAGGCAUUUAUGAGGCUGCAAAAGGUAUAUAUGAACAGAUGUUGCCUGAAGUCCAUGCUCAUCUAAUGUCUUGUGGCAGACAGGCAACCCUUCGUUUCACAGGGCAUUCUCUUGGUGGGAGCUUGGCACUACUUGUAAAUCUCAUGUUGUUGAUAAGAGGGGAAGUGCCAGCCUUGUCCUUACUUCCAGUGAUAACAUUUGGUGCACCUUCAAUCAUGUGUGGUGGUGACUAUCUACUUCGCAAGCUUGGGCUGCCACAAAGUCAUGUUCAGGCAAUUACAUUGCAUAGAGAUAUCGUGCCCCGAGCCUUUUCUUGUAAUUAUCCUAAUCAUGUUGCAGAGCUUCUGAAGGCUGUUAAUGGGAAAUUCAGGAAUCAUCCUUGUCUUAAUAAACAGGUACUUUCCACUAUUAAAUGAAAUAUGAACUUAGUAGGAGUUGUCAAUGAAAUAAAUAUCAACUAAAAUGUGGGUGCCCUGUUAUUACAGAAGCUACUAUAUGCUCCAAUGGGGGAGCUUUUAAUUCUACAGCCAGAUGAGAAAUUCUCACCUCAUCAUUAUCUCCUUCCCUCAGGCAGUGGUCUAUAUUUCUUAACUUGUCCAUCAUCUGACACUAGUGAUGCAGAGAAGCUGCUGCGGGCUGCACAGACAGUUUUCUUAAACUCACCCCAUCCACUUGAGAUUCUAAGUGAUCGCUCAGCAUAUGGUUCUGAAGGAACCAUUCAAAGGGAUCACGACAUGAAUUCUUACUUGAAAUCUGUGCGCAGUGUAAUUCGGCAAGAGCUAAACCACAUAAGAAAACGUAGGAGAGAGCAUCGCCGCAAGUUCUGGUGGUCCCUUCUGGCACCACGUGGAAUCGGUGGUGGUGUCAUUGUGGAGAAGCCUGUGGUGUCUAUCAACAUAGGCGAACACCAUUUCAAUUUCUCUGGUGUCCUGCAGACUGGAAGGGAAUCCUUGAAACGGUUCAGCAGGCUUGUUGCAUCACAACAUAUGCAUUUGCUUGUGGUUCUGUUGUUUCCUGCAAGACUGCUAUUUCUGGGAGCAUGUAGAGUGAUAAAUUUCCAUUGACCAGCCUAUUAAUUUGAGUGUAUUGCAUUUGUGACAUGGAAUAUUGUAUAGGUUACAGGCACAUGGCCAGCAAGAUCAUUUAUUCAUUAGGUGAUUCUUUGUUCAUUGCUUUAGAAUAAAAAAAAAAGGGGAAAAAGAAGAUUCAAAUUCUCUGUAGUCCUUAGGAUUUAGAAUAUUGUUAUGUAGAAAGAAACUAGAAGCCAAUAUUUUGGUCCAUCAAGGUGUAAAAUUCUGACAGUAAUAUUUUUACAAGUGUUGGUGAUUGAUUGUAUCAGGGACCUGCUGGAAUGUUUUUGUUAGGCUGCUAAAAAGCAAGUUUUGGCGUACAUUGUUAUAAACACGAAAUUAAUAUAACAGUUGGCAUGUGGAUACAAUGUGCUCUAACUAUCAAAAUAUCUCCAUCAGCACUUAAAACUAUGCGAAGUAUCAAUAUCAGUUCAUCAAUAAUUGAGCCAUGCACAAAGCAAGCAAACAUCUAUAGAUAGCCAGUUCUUGAAACUCUUUGAUUUGUUUGUUAAGUGAAAUUGUA
rnacentral:misc_RNA from 1 species